UCAUCCAUCAUUCAAUUCGCCCAGAUUGUGGCUUAUUGCGAGCGCUGAUCGUAGGGUUAGCGUAUGGAAGGCGGAUUGGUCGAAGGAUUUCUGCGAGCUUGUUGAUUGGUUAACUUUUCCCGCUCCAAAUAUAACACCUGAAGGAAUUGCUUUGAAAAAAGACGAUGCGUCUGCGUAUUUGCAUCUACCGCCAAGUUUGGCAAGAUUCUCGCCAACAGAGCCCGAUGUUAUUGUGUACAGUGGUUAUGGUCUGAGAAAACUGAUACAAUUCUACAGCUUGUCCCAGAGAAAGGUUUUUCGAACUAUUUUGUUGACACAAUGGGCUUCUUGCUUGGAAAUAUCGCCUAAG